GACGAACGCUGGCGGCGUGCCUAAUACAUGCAAGUAGAACGCUGAAGGAGGAGCUUGCUCUUCUGGAUGAGUUGCGAACGGGUGAGUAACGCGUAGGUAACCUGCCUGGUAGCGGGGGAUAACUAUUGGAAACGAUAGCUAAUACCGCAUAACAGUAGAUGUUGCAUGACAUUUGCUUAAAAGGUGCAAUUGCACCACUACCAGAUGGACCUGCGUUGUAUUAGCUAGUUGGUGGGGUAACGGCUCACCAAGGCGACGAUACAUAGCCGACCUGAGAGGGUGAACGGCCACACUGGGACUGAGACACGGCCCAGACGCCUACGGGAGGCAGCAGUAGGGAAUCUUCGGCAAUGGACGGAAGUCUGACCGAGCAACGCCGCGUGAGUGAAGAAGGUUUUCGGAUCGUAAAGCUCUGUUGUAAGAGAAGAACGAGUGUGAGAGUGGAAAGUUCACACUGUGACGGUAUCUUACCAGAAAGGGACGGCUAACUACGUG
rnacentral:rRNA from 1 species